CAAUCCACGUUUUGCAGGAGAUCAGAGAGUUUUCGGAGGUUGGACAGAAAUGGUAGGAAACCUCCCUCGUCCCAUCCCAAGAGCUUGCCAAAUUUGGAGGCGUGUGUAGAGAAGUUGCGAAUGUGGUCCGGGUCGUUGAAGAGAACGGAAUGUACUACAGUUUCAAUCGUCAACGGAGAGCAAAACAGAGAAACAGCGCAAGUCACGUUUUUAGGAGUAUGACUUGCUUGCACUAAACUUGAGUGGACAGAUGGACGGACGGUCGGAUGCAGUACAUGUAUGCAGAGGAGGAGGAGGACGAGGAGGAGGUGGAAAGUAACUCCAACAGCCGCUGAGGCCGCUAUCUUACCUGGAACUUUGGCUACCACGCUUCAGGCCUUGAUCAAGCUGUCAUCAGUACAACUCAAUCUAACAAUUCAUGGCCAACAAGUACUCCAAUCAACCGAUUCAAUCGACCGCUUUGAACCUCAACAAGUCCAGGAGAAUGACGAUGUUCACUCAUCAUCCAUCUAUCCUACACACAUACAUACAUCGCUCUAUCUAUCUAUCUAUCUAUCCAUCCAUCCCGAUCCAUCCAUCCAUGAGGCUAAGUUUGUGGGCAAAGGCCCCCAAAUGCCUGGCCAGUACGAGACGUGCCGUGCCGAUUCCUCAAACAAGUUCCCGAGUGAAGUGACAGCGAAAGAGCAACCUACUUGCAAGCUCAGAUCAGGCCUAAAUCAGUAGGGAUGUGAACGAGCUGCCUUCGCUCUCCAAAUGAACACGGGUCAGAAGAGCUUUUGAGAACUAAGGACGACGAUCCAUGAAAUGUUAUAAAUUGGUGUAUCUUUAUAUGUAAGAGAAUGACAAGUGCUGUAUGAGGAAAUGAUUCAGAUACGGGACUUGACAAUGCCUACUACAAAAAUGUUUUGAUGAUGUGUGAGCAAGGUGCAAUCCUUGCUCCUCGAAAUACCAAAAAAGAAGAAAAAAUAAUAACUCACUAACAGGUGUAAUGAUAUUAA